rnacentral:rRNA from 1 species
CCUACGGGUGGCAGCAGUAGGGAAUCUUCCACAAUGGGCGAAAGCCUGAUGGAGCAACGCCGCGUGGGUGAAGAAGGUAUUCGGAACGUAAAACUCUGUUGUUAGAGAAGAAAGUGCGUGAGAGUAACUGUUCACGUUUCGAUGGUAUCUAACCAGCAAGCCACGGCUAACUACGUGCCCGCAGCCGCGGUAAUACGUAGGUGGCAAGCGUUAUCCGGAUGUAUUGGGCGGAAAGGGAACGUAGGCGGUCUUGUAAGUCUGAUGUGAAAGCCUUCGGCUUAACCGGAGUAGGGCAUUGGAAACUGGGGGACUAGAGUGCAGAAGAGGAGAGUGGAAGUCCAUGUGUAGCGGUGAAAUGCGUAGAUAUAUGGAAGAACACCAGUGGCGAAGGCGGCUUUCUGGUCUGUAACUGACGCUGAGGUUCGAAAGCGUGGGUAGCAAACAGGAGUAGAUACCCUAGUAGUC